UACAGAGGGUGCGAGCGUUAAUCGGAAUUACUGGGCGUAAAGCGCGCGUAGGCGGCUUUGCAAGUCGGGUGUGAAAUCCCCAGGCUUAACCUGGGAACUGCAUUUGUGACUGCAUUGCUGGAGUGCGGCAGAGGGGGAUGGAAUUCCGCGUGUAGCAGUGAAAUGCGUAGAUAUGCGGAGGAACACCGAUGGCGAAGGCAAUCCCCUGGGCCUGCACUGACGCUCAUGCACGAAAGCGUGGGGAGCAAACAGG
rnacentral:rRNA from 1 species